UACAGAGGGGGCAAGCGUUAUUCGGAAUUAUUGGGCGUAAAGGGCGCGUAGGCGGCUUGGCAAGUGGAAGGUGAAAUCCCUCGGCUUAACCGAGGAACUGCCCUCCAAACUGCUUCGCUUGAGACCGGGAGAGGUGAGUGGAAUUCCCAGUGUAGCGGUGAAAUGCGUAGAUAUUGGGAGGAACACCAGUGGCGAAGGCGGCUCACUGGACCGGUACUGACGCUGAUGCACGAAAGCGUGGGGAGCAAACGGG
rnacentral:rRNA from 1 species